rnacentral:rRNA from 1 species
AGCAGUCGCCGCGGGAAAACGAAGGGGGCUAGCGUUGCUCGGAAUUACUGGGCGUAAAGGGAGCGUAGGCGGACAUUUAAGUCAGGGGUGAAAUCCCAGAGCUCAACUCUGGAACUGCCUUUGAUACUGGGUGUCUUGAGUGUGAUAGAGGUAUGUGGAACUCCGAGUGUAGAGGUGAAAUUCGUAGAUAUUCGGAAGAACACCAGUGGCGAAGGCGGCUUACUGGCUCAUACUGGACGCUGAGGUGCGAAAGCGUGGGGAGCAAACAGGAUUAGAUACCCCAGUAGUCCCUGUCUCUUAUAA